rnacentral:rRNA from 1 species
GAUGAGUGGAGCUUGCUCCAUGAUUCAGCGGCGGACGGGUGAGUAAUGCCUAGGAAUCUGCCUGGUAGUGGGGGAUAACGUUUCGAAAGGAACGCUAAUACCGCAUACGUCCUACGGGAGAAAGUGGGGGAUCUUCGGACCUCACGCUAUCAGAUGAGCCUAGGUCGGAUUAGCUAGUUGGUGGGGUAAUGGCCCACCAAGGCGACGAUCCGUAACUGGUCUGAGAGGAUGAUCAGUCACACUGGAACUGAGACACGGUCCAGACUCCUACGGGAGGCAGCAGUGGGGAAUAUUGGACAAUGGGCGAAAGCCUGAUCCAGCCAUGCCGCGUGUGUGAAGAAGGUCUUCGGAUUGUAAAGCACUUUAAGUUGGGAGGAAGGGCAGUAAGUUAAUACCUUGCUGUUUUGACGUUACCAACAGAAUAAGCACCGGCUAACUUCGUGCCAGCAGCCGCGGUAAUACGAAGGGUGCAAGCGUUAAUCGGAAUUACUGGGCGUAAAGCGCGCGUAGGUGGUUCAGCAAGUUGGAUGUGAAAGCCCCGGGCUCAACCUGGGAAUUGCAUCCAAAACUACUGAGCUAGAGUACGGUAGAGGGUGGGUGGAAUUUCCUGUGUAGCGGUGAAAUGCGUAGAUAUAGGAAGGAACACCAGUGGCGAAGGCGACCACCUGGACUGAUACUGACACUGAGGUGCGAAAGCGUGAGGAGCAAACGGGAUUACAUACCCUGGUAGUCCACGCCGUA